AUUUAUAUAGUAUAAUUAUUAUUUUUGACUUCCAAUCAAAAGAUCUAUUAACUAGUAUAAAUA
rnacentral:tRNA from 1 species